rnacentral:rRNA from 1 species
AUUGAACGCUGGCGGCAGGCUUAACACAUGCAAGUCGAGCGGGGAAGGGUAGCUUGCUACCUAACCUAGCGGCGGACGGGUGAGUAAUGCUUAGGAAUCUGCCAUUUAGUGGGGGACAACAUUCCGAAAGGAAUGCUAAUACCGCAUACGUCCUACGGGAGAAAGCAGGGGAUCUUCGGACCUUGCGCUAAAUGAUGAGCCUAAGUCGGAUUAGCUAGUUGGUGGGGUAAAGGCCUACCAAGGCGACGAUCUGUAGCGGGUCUGAGAGGAUGAUCCGCCACACUGGGACUGAGACACGGCCCAGACUCCUACGGGAGGCAGCAGUGGGGAAUAUUGGACAAUGGGCGAAAGCCUGAUCCAGCCAUGCCGCGUGUGUGAAGAAGGCCUUUUGGUUGUAAAGCACUUUAAGCGAGGAGGAGGCUACUAGUACUAAUACUACUGGAUAGUGGACGUUACUCGCAGAAUAAGCACCGGCUAACUCUGUGCCAGCCGCCGCCGUAAAAC